rnacentral:pre_miRNA from 1 species
AAAGUACUCCCUCCGUCCCAAAAUUCUUGUCUUAGAGUUGUCUAGAUACGGAUGUAUCAAGUCACAUUUUAGUAUUAGAUACAUCCGUAUCUAGACAAAUCUAAGACAAGAAAUUUGGGACAGAGGGAUUAGUUG